GACGAACGCUGGCGGCGUGCCUAACACAUGCAAGUCGAACGGAGAUAUUUGAAAGAAGUUUUCGGAUGGAUUUUAAAUAUCUUAGUGGCGGACGGGCGAGUAACGCGUGAGCAACCUGCCCUUCAGUGGGGAAUAACGACCGGAAACGGGCGCUAAUACCGCAUAAAAUAUACAUUUGGCAUCGAAAGUAUAUCAAAGGAGCAAUUCGCUGAAGGAUGGGCUCGCGUCCGAUUAGCUGGUUGGUGAGGUAACGGCUCACCAAGGCGACGAUCGGUAGCCGAACUGAGAGGUUGAUCGGCCGCAUUGGGACUGAGACACGGCCCAGACUCCUACGGGAGGCAGCAGUGGGGGAUAUUGCACAACUGGAGGAAACUCUGAUGCAGCAACGCCGCGUGAGGAAGAAGGUCUUCGGAUUGUAAACCUUAGUAGUCAGGGACGAAACAAAUGACGGUACCUGAAGAGUAAGCUCCGGCUAACUACGUGCCAGCAGCCGCGGUAAAGUCACGG
rnacentral:rRNA from 1 species